rnacentral:rRNA from 1 species
UUGACGUGAUGCGGAGUGAAGUUUAGUAUUGAAGUCCGUGAGCUGUGCGUCAAGAAAAGCCGCUAUUGUUCAUACCAUACCCGUACCGUAAACCGACACAGGUGGAUGAGGAGAGGAUCCUAAGGCCGGCGGAAGAAGCAUUGUCAAGGAACUCGGCAAAAUGACCCCGUAACUUCGGGAGAAGGGGUGCCUGCGAGAGCAGGCCGCAGAGAAUAGGCUCAAGCAACUGUUUAGCAAAAACACAGGUCUAUGCGAAACCGAAAGGUGAGGUAUAUGGGCUGACGCCUGCCCGGUGCUGGAAGGUUAAGAGGAGAGGUUAGCGCAAGCGAAGCUUUGAAUUUAAGCCCCAGUAAACGGCGGCCGUAACGAUAACGGUCCUAAGGUAGCGAAAUUCCUUGUCGGGUAAGUUCCGACCCGCACGAAAGGCGUAAUGAUUUGAGCGCUGUCUCGACAAUGCAUCCGGUGAAAUUGAAGUACCAGUGAAGAUGCUGGUUACCUGCGCCAGGACGGAAAGACCCCAUGGAGCUUUACUCCAGUUUGGUACUGGGAUCCGGUACUGCAUGUACAGGAUAGGUGGGAGGCUGAGAAUCGGUAACGCCAGUUGCCGAGGAGCCGCUGUUGGGAUACCACCCUUGCAGUAUUGGGUUUCUAACCAGCCGCCGUGACCCGGCGGUGGGACAAUGCCAGACGGGGAGUUUGACUGGGGCGGUCGCCUCCGAAAGGGUAUCGGAGGCGCCCAAAGGUUCCCUCAGGAUGGACGGAAACCAUCCAAAGAGUGCAAAGGCAGAAGGGAGCUUGACUGCGACACCGACGGGUGGAGCAGGUACGAGAGUAGGGCUUAGUGAUCCGGUGGUAUUAAGUGGGAAUGCCAUCGCUCAACGGAUAAAAGCUACCCUGGGAUAACAGGCUUAUCACUCCCAAGAGUUCACAUCGACGGAGUGGUUUGGCACCUCGAUGUCGGCUCAUCGCAUCCUGGGGCUGUAGUAGGUCCCAAGGGUUGGGCUGUUCGCCCAUUAAAGCGGUACGCGAGCUGGGUUCAGAACGUCGUGAGACAGUUCGGUCCCUAUCCGGCGUGGGCGUAGGAUAUCUGAGAGGAGCUGUCCUUAGUACGAGAGGACCGGGAUGGACGGGCCGCUGGUGCACCGGUUAGACUGCCAAGUCUAUAGCCGGGUAGCCAAGCCCGGAAGGGAUAAACGCUGAAGGCAUCUAAGCGUGAAGCCCCCCUCAAGAUGAGAUAUCCCAUCCGAAAGGAGUAAACCCCCUUGAAGACGACGAGGUUGAUAGGGCAGGGGUGGAAGUGUGGUAACACAUGGAGCUGACUGCUACUAAUAGGGUGAGGGCUUGACCU